AGAAGUAAAAUGGAGCUCCUUUCUUUCCAAUACGAAGGGCUAAGUAGAGCCAAGAGCUGUCAUCUCAUGCAUUUGGUUAACCUUAAAUGUUUGUCGGUUAUACAAUGUAAGUUUGACCAAGUGCAUGAUGUGAGAGCAACUCCACCCGUCUGCUUUGUCCUACCAUUGAAUUGUAGGGAGCUUCAUGUUUCACUCUC
rnacentral:pre_miRNA from 1 species